CUCUGGGAGCAGGUGGGUGGCUGCUCUGGUGCUGGGUGCCUCAGGUCAUCACUUUGCAGGGACUCACGGUGCUUUGCAACCCUAUCAGCCAUCCAGCAGAAUUCAGCAAGCUGUCCUAAAAUCUCCAUCUGUGCUGCAGCAUGCUUUGGUGAGAUCCCAACACAGCAAACCUUUUGUGAAUGGACUUUGUGAUGAUGUGAGUUGGUGCCAGAGACUGGUUGGUAACUGCUGCCUUCUACUGCUCUGAUGUGGAUUCCACAGCAAGGAGUGGGCUGUUUCCUACAGUGCCCUAAUCUGUCAAUUGAGGAGCAGCAGCAUUUGCUGGAGUGUUUCUGAGAAGUAUGGAGGCAAUGUCAGUAUGGAGCAGAGAGGUUCCUCAGGUCUGGGCCAGGUGCUGCAUGUCCCAGGCGUUCCCCUCACCAUGGCCACAAAGCCCUGAGUGAUCCUUGGCUUGAACCACUUGGUUUUGAAGCCAAGUUUGGGUCCCAUCAAUAGGAAAACUCCUGGAAACACCUUCCUGAUCUAGUUUGCUGUUGGAGCCAUCGAGAGCUUUCUCUUCCAAGAUGAAAGUGGGAUAAAAGCAGCUUCAGGACACAUCUCAGCAUGGACUUAAUGCAGUAAGACUUGAAGAGACUGAGAGAUGGGUGACCCUCUGGUUUUCACCUCCCUGUCUGAGAAGUGAGGAGAGAAGGGGCAGCAUUAACAAGCUGAUAAACCCAACCUGAUCUAGAGGGAGAGAGGAUGGCAAGAGGCAGUUGUACCGGAGUGGUUCUUCACUUUGUGCACAGCCAGGUGAAACACAAACAGUGACAAAUUGAUGAUGGAGUAGAACACAUUAGCGUGAAAAUCCUCAGAUGUCUCAUAAGGUAUCUCCUCUGAGUCUGCUGAAGUGAUAACACUACUGCAAGUGGCUUCUCCGGAAAGGAAGUAGUCCCUUGUUGGCUAUCGGUUUGAUUGGAUUGCGGUGAAGCUUCGCAUCAGUCCUGAAAUACAAUCUGUAGAGCCAGCAGAAGUGUGCUGGGAGACCAGGAGUGGAUGGCGGUGCAGACUGUCUUUGCCUGGCAGCACGGGGUGGAUCUUUGAGCCCUUACAAAAGCAGUGAAUACAUCUGCCCUUCAGCCCUGACUCGCCCAAACCUUGUGCAAACCGUCUGGAUGUCAUGUCCCCAACCACUUGGGAGAGCACACCACGCUCACCCCAACCUCUCACACCCAUGGAUAUAAGCCUCUCCUCAUCAGGAUGUGUUCCCAGGCUUUGUGCAGCUGUCUUCCCAAAGCUUUCUGAAGAUUAAUGCAACGUGCGAAGGUCAGCGUGGUCCUGAGUAAAGGAAGGGGCUGCUGGGGGACCUGGUGGCACAGUGGAAUGAGGAGAGCGAUGUUGCUGAACUCAGCACGGAGACUCAGGUGUUUGGAAACCUCUUCUGGAUCAGGAGGAAAAUGAGUCUGUUUCUGUGAGAUUGAUCUGUGGGCACCAACAGAGUGUUCAGCUGGAUGAGAGAUGUUGCCUCUAUGAGAGAGGCAACAAACAGAGAAUUAAGUGUCAGCCUGCUGAGACAUGGGACAAAAGGGGAAACUCAAUGACAACAUCGCUGCAUUCUGCCUUUUGGUGGCUGUCAGCUGGGCUCAGACAGCUCCUUGCUGCCCUAAAAUCCGUGGUUGUGCUGUGUGUGCUCCGGUCUGCUGCAUCGCACUUAUGCUUCAGCCUGCUCUGAAAGUGACAUUUCUGCAUUGAUAAGCAACCACCUCAAGCAACACCCUCGCUGACUGAGGCAGCCUGGUGGCCAGGUGUUGAGUAAGCAGCUGUACUGGAGACAUCUGAAUGCUGACAGAAAGAGGUUUCCCAUUGCUGCCUGGAUGGAUGGCCACACCAGUCCUGCCUUGGCCCCAGGGGAUGGUCUCCUGCACUCUCCCACAUGUCUUGACUUCAUGACUGUACCCCUUGGAUCCCAUCGCUGUUUGCCUUUGGAAAGGAGAGCAUCCUGCAGAAAACAGGAAUGAGGGCUUAUCUCCAAGAGCUGUCACUUCCCCACACCGCCUUCAGCUCAGUGCUAC
ensembl:lncRNA